rnacentral:rRNA from 1 species
UACGUAGGGUGCGAGCGUUAAUCGGAAUUACUGGGCGUAAAGCGUGCGCAGGCGGUUAUGUAAGACAGAUGUGAAAUCCCCGGGCUCAACCUGGGAACUGCAUUUGUGACUGCACGGCUGGAGUGCGGCAGAGGGGGAUGGAAUUCCGCGUGUAGCAGUGAAAUGCGUAGAUAUGCGGAGGAACACCGAUGGCGAAGGCAAUCCCCUGGGCCUGCACUGACGCUCAUGCACGAAAGCGUGGGGAGCAAACAGG